GGUUGGCUCUUCUGUCUUGGUGUGAUGUGAUUAAGGAUCAGGGUGGUGCUGCCUAAGUUUUCUUAUCAAUAUGUGACAAGUCUUGAGACUCGCUGAAGGUUGGUAGGGGCCUGCCUUUUUCCCUCGGGUAUGGGCUCUCUCAGUUUGGUGGAAGCCUGCCUUGCCUUUUCCUUUUGUCCUGUGGAUUCUUUGUUCUUGGCUUCAUUUUCUUAGCGCAUGCAUAAUGCAUUUCUCUUCAUUCCUUUUCAUGUGACUAGCCUUCCCAAUCAACUUCUUUCUUUUCAUUCCUUUCACAGUUUUGGUUUUAAGAAUUGUUCCCUUUUCCAGCCAUUGCUGCUGGUUCAACUUCCCAGGUAUUCUUUGCCACUAGUUUUUCAUUUCUCAGUGGUCUCUUUGCUUUACUUUGUUUCCUGGUGUCUGGUUCUGCUGUGCACCCGGUGGUCAGGCAGUUGCCAAUUUUAUACCAUUUGAACUUUCAAGUUUCUUUUCCUGGUACUUUAUUUGUUCGGGAGCAUUUAAUUUCCAUGUUAAGUUAUAUAUGCAAUGGCCUCCAUGAGAGUUCUCUUUCCUUUUCUUUUUUUUUUUUUUUCCUAAAAAAGGUUGUGUAUUAUAUUCAGUUGACAUGGGAUUUGUUUUUCAAAUUUCCAUGCGCACAAGAAUCAGGUGCUUCUAGUUUGCUUUAUGCCAUUUUUGGUUUUUAUAGUUGAAAGUGAUAGCUCUAUGAAACUGGGAUAGCAUUUGUUUCUAUCAUAUCAUGCCUGUAUUAUGAUGAUUGAUGAGAUCACGUAAAUCAGUAAAUGUAACCCCACAUGAAAUUAGGGUGGAAAUGCUGUGAGGAUUAAAAAGAAUGAACAUUUAUGCAUAUCUUAGCUGCUGGGUGCUCUUAGGGGUGGCAUGAGUUUAAUCAAAAAAACAAAAGAUGAAUGGGGUUGCACCAUAAAAACAAAAGAAGUAACAUCUUGCCUUCAACCUCCAUUUUUCUUGGUGUUUUGUGCUGUUUCAAAUGCAGGCUCUUGUGAUUGCAUUUACUCUUGCUUCUGCCGAUGGCCUUUGCUCCUCAAAGGUGCUCAUCUUGUUCUCUCGUCUCAUUUCUCUUUUGCUUUGUUCUGAGUAGGCUCUAACUAUAGAAGACGUCUUUAAUCCUAAUUUGUACUUGGCUGGCCCAAUUAAGGGGCAAAAUGCUUGCUAUGUUGGUUUUUCCAUACGAAAAGAUGUUUUGAACUCCCGACAUCUCUUAAAAGAUGAGAGUGCACGACCAAUCAUGCCAACCAAGCUGGUUAUGUUUCUUGGUUCUUGGCUUGGCCUCUACUUUGCCUUUAAGCGGAGUUGAUGAACCUUAGUGCUACUUUUCCUUGGAAUGGAUUGGAUGCUGAGCUUUUCUUUUUCAAGAGUGAGAUAUUUUUACAACUUUACUUUUUAGACAGUGGGUUGUCUUUCUAAUCCUUGCAUUCAUGGAUUUCAGUGGGGAUAUGUUAGUUAAUGUGCUUGAAAAUGAUCGUGCCUCCAUUCCUGUCUGGAAUGAUUUGCUCGUAGGGUUUAGAAGGCCACAGCAAAUUAGCAAUGAUCUGUAAUCAACAUGCCUGUUCAAUCAUCGAUUAGGAUGUUGAACCGACCUCCAUUAUCAAUACUCCAUUCAUAUCA